CUAAAAUUAAAUCGUUUAAUUAAAUCGCUUUAAAAUCCGAGCUCUAUUGAUUACAUGUUUAUACGAUGGCAUUGACUUCAAAUGUUAUUUCAAGCUCACAAGGAGGUCAGUUGUGAUUUUGAUGUGCAAGGUAAAAUAUUUACAAUGGAAUGCUCAAGUUGGAAGGCCUCCAGUCGACUACAAAAACGCAACUUUGAUGACUGUGUGCUGUAUGGUAUUUGAGCAAUACUGAAAAAUUUCGGGUGUCUUGUAAUAUUCCAACAAGUUUGUUUUUCGCAAUGGGAGGAUGAAGUUCUCAAUCUGGGUACCAGUGGUUGACAUGUUGGUCGACGGAAUGGCCUAAUGAUUUUAAUUGUGCAGAUGUUUUUGAUGAAAGUAUUCAAAAAUGAAGAAUUGUAAUUAGUAAGACUACUAACCAUGAUCAAGUGAACGCUACACAGGCAUUAAAAAUAAGAGUGAAUUGGCCCGUUUUACAAUCAUAGUUUAAACCUCGGUCACACUUAACCCACUGAUUUUACCGGUUGAAUUUGGUGGUUUAACCUUAGUUUA